rnacentral:rRNA from 1 species
UACGUAGGGACCAAGCGUUGUUCGGAUUUACUGGGCGUAAAGGGCGCGUAGGCGGCUUGACAAGUCACUUGUGAAAUCUCCGGGCUUAACUCGGAACGGCCAAGUGAAACUGUCAUGCUAGAGUGCAGAAGGGGCAAUCGGAAUUCUUGGUGUAGCGGUGAAAUGCGUAGAUAUCAAGAGGAACACCUGAGGUGAAGACGGGUUGCUGGGCUGACACUGACGCUGAGGCGCGAAAGCGUGGGUAGCGAACAGG